AUAUAAGAGGUUUAGCAAGUCUUCGACCAGGAGCAUCUACUUCACUAUGAUAACCAACACACCAAGGAUCAACCAUAACCAAAUCCAUAUCUUCAAUACCCCUCUUCUUCAUAGCCUCUAUGAAUGGAGGAUAUUCUUUGACAACAGCCUCACAUUCUGCAUACUCAGCAGCAUCCAUAGGAGGCUGAACCUCAGGAACAACUGUAGAAGAUAUAACUUUUCCCCUGUGAUGUCCACCUCGAGUUACUGCAUGAACCUCUGACAGCUCGACGAUCCAUAGGCUUGUCUCGUUCGAUUUCUUAUUGUAAACAACAAUCCUUGCCCUUCUUGGAGGAAGCUUUGUAGGAAUAACCGGUCCUCCCUUAGUUUUGGGAAGCAAAGAUGGUUGGAAUGGAGGGAAAAAAUAUGCAUCUGCCAAUGCAACAACAUGU
rnacentral:misc_RNA from 1 species